rnacentral:rRNA from 1 species
GUCCUUAGUACGAGAGGACCGGGAUGGACGCACCGCUGGUGUACCAGUUGUUCUGCCAAGGGCAUCGCUGGGUAGCUAUGUGCGGACGGGAUAAGUGCUGAAAGCAUCUAAGCAUGAAGCCCCCCUCAAGAUGAGAUUUCCCAUUCCGCAAGGAAGUAAGAUCCCUGAAAGAUGAUCAGGUUGAUAGGUCUGAGGUGGAAGUGUGGCGACACAUGGAGCUGACAGAUACUAAUCGAUCGAGGGCUUAACCUAAA